AAGUCGUAACAAGGUUUCCGUAGGUGAACCUGCGGAAGGAUCAUUAUUGAAUAAACCUGAUGGGUUGUUGCUGGCUUCUAGGAGCAUGUGCACGCCUGUCAUCUUUAUCCAUCCACCUGUGCACCUUUUGUAGUCUUCAGAGUUAAUGAGCGUGAAGCCGUCGAGGGGGUUAACCUUCGAUGCUCUCGCAAGUUUCUCUAGGACUAUGUAUUUCAUAUACCACGUAGAAUGUAUCAGAACGUUUUUAUUGGGCCUCGGUGCCUAUAAAACAAUAUACAACUUUCAGCAACGGAUCUCUUGGCUCUC
rnacentral:misc_RNA from 1 species